rnacentral:rRNA from 1 species
CUUGCUUGGGGUACUCGAGUGGCGAACGGGUGAGUAAUACGUGGGUAACCUGCCCUCUUCUUUGGGAUAAGCCCCGGAAACGGGGUCUAAUACCGGAUAUUCUGCUUCUGCCGCAUGGUGGGGGUUGGAAAGGUUUUUCGGUGGGGGAUGGGCCCGCGGCCUAUCAGCUUGUUGGUGGGGUGAUGGCCUACCAAGGCUUCGACGGGUAGCCGGCCUGAGAGGGCGGACGGCCACAUUGGGACUGAGAUACGGCCCAGACUCCUACGGGAGGCAGCAGCC